GACGAACGCUGGCGGCGUGCCUAAUACAUGCAAGUAGGACGCUGAAGGAGGAGCUUGCUUCUCUGGAUGAGUUGCGAACGGGUGAGUAACGCGUAGGUAACCUGCCUGGUAGCGGGGGAUAACUAUUGGAAACGAUAGCUAAUACCGCAUAAUAGUAGAUGUUGCAUGACAUUUGCUUAAAAGGUGCAAUUGCAUCACUACCAGAUGGACCUGCGUUGUAUUAGCUAGUUGGUGGGGUAACGGCUCACCAAGGCGACGAUACAUAGCCGACCUGAGAGGGUGAUCGGCCACACUGGGACUGAGACACGGCCCAGACUCCUACGGGAGGCAGCAGUAGGGAAUCUGCGGCAAUGGACGGAAGUCUGACCGAGCAACGCCGCGUGAGUGAAGAAGGUUGUCGGAUCGUAAAGCUCUGUUGUAAGAGAAGAACGAGUGUGAGAGUGGAAAGUUCACACUGUGACGGUAUCUUACCAGAAAGGGACGGCUAACUACGUG
rnacentral:rRNA from 1 species